rnacentral:rRNA from 1 species
UACAGAGGUCUCAAGCGUUGUUCGGAUUCAUUGGGCGUAAAGGGUGCGUAGGCGGCGCGGUAAGUCGGGUGUGAAAUCUCGGGCUUAACUCCGAAACUGCAUUCGAUACUGCCGUGCUUGAGGACUGGAGAGGAGACUGGAAUUUACGGUGUAGCGGUGAAAUGCGUAGAUAUCGUAAGGAAGACCAGUGGCGAAGGCGGGUCUCUGGACAGUUCCUGACGCUGAGGCACGGAAGGUCAGGGGGAGCAAAACGGGG